rnacentral:rRNA from 1 species
AGUGAACGCUGGCGGUAGGCCUAACACAUGCAAGUCGAACGGCAGCACAGUAAGAGCUUGCUCUUACGGGUGGCGAGUGGCGGACGGGUAAGGAAUACAUCGGAAUCUACUUUUUCGUGGGGGAUAACGUAGGGAAACUUACGCUAAUACCGCAUACGACCUACGGGUGAAAGCAGGGGAUCUUCGGACCUUGCGCGAUUGAAUGAGCCGAUGUCGGCUUAGCUAGUUGGCGGGGUAAAGGCCCACCAAGGCGACGAUCCGUAGCUGGUCUGAGAGGAUGAUCAGCCACACUGGAACUGAGACACGGUCCAGACUCCUACGGGAGGCAGCAGUGGGGAAUAUUGGACAAUGGGCGCAAGCCUGAUCCAGCCAUACCGCGUGGGUGAAGAAGGCCUUCGGGUUGUAAAGCCCUUUUGUUGGGAAAGAAAAGCAGCAGGUUAAUACCCCGCUGUUCUGACGGUACCCAAAGAAUAAGCACCGGCUAACUUCGUG